GAUACGCGAGGAACUUACCUGGCUUAAUGUAGAGUGCAUUUUUAGAGAUAGAAAUUCCCUUCGGGCUUUCUGCAAGGUGCUGCAUGGUUGUCGUCAGCUCGUGCCGUGAGGUGUCGGGUUAAGUCCCAUAACGAGCGCAACCCUUAUCGUUAGUUGCCAGCUGGUAAAGCAGGGGACUCUAGCGAAACUGCCACCGUAAGGUGAGAGGAAGGUGGGAUGACGUCAAAUCAGCACGGCCCUUAUGUCCAGGGCUACACACGUGUUACAAUGGCCGGCACAGAGGGCAGCUACCUGGUGACAGGAUGCUAAUCUCGAAAACCGGUCUCAGUUCGGAUCGAAGUCUGCAACUCGACUUCGUGAAGCUGGAUUCGCUAGUAAUCGCGCAUCAGCCAUGGCGCGGUGAAUACGUUCCCGGGCCUU
rnacentral:rRNA from 1 species